AAGGCAGCAGGCGCGUAAAUUACCCAAUCCUAAAUCGGGGGAGGUAGUGACAAGAUAUAACAACGCGACUAAAAAUCGCGAUUGUAGUGAGGGUAUUCUAAACAUAGCUUCGAGUACGAUUGGAGGGCAAGUCUGGUGCCAGCAGCCGCGGUAAUUCCAGCUCCAAUAGCGUAUAUUAAAGUUGUUGCAGUUAAAAAAGCUCGUAGUUGGACUUCAAGAAGCGCAUCUGGGCAACCAGUUUGCCUUCUACCAGCCCUAGGCUGUUACUGUGAGAAAAUUAGAGUGUUUCAAGCAGGCUUUUGCAGGAAUACAUUAGCAUGGAAUAACGAAUGUGUCUACAAUUUGGUUGAUUGUAGGUUACAAUUAAUAGGGACAGUUGGGGGCAUUAGUAUUUAAUAGUCAGAGGUGAAAUUCUUGGAUUUGUUAAAGACUAAACGUAUGCGAAAGCAUUUGCCAAGGAUGUUUUCAUUAAUCAAAGAACGAAAGAUAGGGGAUCAAAAGACGAUCAGAUACCGUCGUAGUCCU
rnacentral:rRNA from 1 species